rnacentral:lncRNA from 1 species
UGCCACUUGCAGCAGGAACAGUUUUGUUUUCCCUUCAUUCUUUAAUUUCCACUCUGAAAUAAAAAGAGCAACAUUAAUUUCCAACCAGAGAUCUCAGUGGAUUUGUAGGUACACAUUUAUGGACAGAACAACAUAUGGCUACAUUUCAUGAGAAUUAGAAUAAUAAAGAUGGACAGGUUUCAACCUUCUGAGGUAGCUGGGGACUUUCGGUGACAUUGGAGAACUGAUACUCACCAAAGUUUAGCAGGCAUGCUUGCAUGACAAGAACAAUAGAGAUGGAUGGGUUAACCUUUUGAGGUAGCUGGGGUGCUUUCAGUGAUAUUGAAGAACCGAUAUGAACCCAAGUUACACAGGCUCACAUAUCUUGAAAGAGGGAGUCUUCAAAUAGACUCUUGCCCAGCCUAAGCAGCAACAGCAGUUUGACCAUUGCCACAAGUUUCUGAAGCUGUUGUUGAUGAGGUGCCAUCAAUCUUGAUGGAUGUCAACAGAAUCUUAUGUUUCAACUCAACUUGGUUCAUUUUAUAUUGCCUGAACUCAAGGCCACAAAACUGUUCCCACCCCUGUAAAAAGGAAUCAUAAAUUACAAGUUAGACAAACUAAGUUGCCAACCAUCCAUGUAGUGCCUGAAUGCCAGGGGGCCUGGUCUUCACUGGUGGAAAAUUUCUAGUAUGAGGCAUAAAACCUGGGUUCCCAGAGCCUGAUAAAGUAGCAUUUUUUGCUAUUAAAAUCGUGUGUAAGUUAAAUAUGAAUUGAUUUCAUGUUGCCAAACCAGAGGAGUGCUAUUCUAUGAGGGAAGUUUUCUACUAUGAGACAAACACCCAGUGCCACCAAAGCUUUACAAGUAACAAUGUUGCAUUUAACAAUCAUUUAUAAGUUGAACAAAGCAUUUACAUUUUUUUUUCCCGAGAAACAUUACAAAAUAAUAUGCACAGAAAAAUUUUGUAACUAAGAUAAUGAUAUUGAGGCAGAUGCAUAGAAUUAUUAAAAAAAGAUUUGAAAAAAAAAUUCAAUCUUAAAGUAAUUAAAUAUAACCGUAGUAAAACGAGAAAGAAUCAUUCGCCUAAGAUAUAUUAAAAGAUAUACAUGUUUAUGUGUUGUGAUUAGAUAAGGUGACUCGAUUAACAUUAGUGACAUGAGAUCUAAGAAAAGUUUAUAGAAAAAAAGAAGAUUUGAAUGCUUUCAAUUCGACUAGAGAUAUUAUCUUGCAUAGAGCACAAUGACAAAUAAAGAGCUAUAUAGCUAUCCCGAAUAGUUAAAUUAAUGAACUGCUAUUAUUUUUGUUCUUUAUAUAUAAAUUAAUGAACUGCUAUUAUUUUUGUUCUUCAUAGGAAACUAACUUGUACGUUAAUUGUCUAUAAAGAAUUAAAUGACAUCAAGAAUGUGCACACAUCAAAUUUCCACUAUAAGUUUGUCAAUCAAGUCCUUGGAUCUAAUAAAUAGUUUUAACGGAAGGCUAUUCUGGUAUCCUUUUGAUGUAAAGAAAUUUCAAGUUAAGAAACACAUUUAGGGCGAUUUAUAUUCCAAUUAAUAGCCUCUAUGCCCAAGAUUUGAUUCCAUAAUAGUAAUAAGAGGCUUAUCAAGCUAAUCCUUAAGAAAGCAUUUCUGAAGUCAAGUUUUUGACAGAUCGUUAACAAAAGCAAUCGUGAGUGCAAUGUCCACACUAAACAAUGCUUUUGACAGGAAAGGACUUCUGUAUCAUGGACAGAUUAAUCUGACGAAAAAUGAAGUUAUAUUCAUCGUAAACCAAUGUAACAGUUAUCAUGCAAUCAAGAUCGAUUUUAAACCCAGAAAGAGCCAAUCUUUCUUCCUGGAUAUCUAAGAAAUAAGCAACAAAUAGUUCAAAUCAAAUCCAAACAAGGGAAAUUUUUGUGCACCGAUAGACGAAGGCAUUGAAUCCAGGGCGUAGGCGGCGAUUGCAAAGGCCACCUGCCAUAAAAAACUGACCCGUCGACUCGCUCAAGCUGCGGUGAUCACUUCCACAGCCGCAGCCUGUGGUGGCGACGGAUCAGAAUCGCCUCUCUUCCCCUCCCCUGCCACCGCAGCCGCCGCCAGAUCCUCCGGGAGAACUCCGUCAAGCUCGUCCUCCGCCGCAUGGGCGGUCACGGCCUCUUUACGAGUAGCGUUCCUGUCGCUCCUCUCUCGCCCUUCCCCGCCGCCAUCUCCUUCUCUCUCGCGGUGCACACAAAGGAAGAGCGGUAGCCGGCGACGGGACUCUACACAGAGAGGAGGGGCAUCAGCCAAGCAAGAGGAAUCUAAAGGAUUGGAAUCUAAACAUCCA